rnacentral:ncRNA from 1 species
UCAGUUCUGGUGCCAAGCGCGCGACCCGCUCCGGGGACAGCGGCAGGUGGGGAGUUUGACUGGGGCAGUACACCUGUCAAAGCGUAAUGCAGGUGUCCUAGAGUGAGCUCAGGGAGGACGGAAACCUCCCGUGGAGCAGAAGGGCAAAAGCUCGCUUGAUCUUGAUUUUCAGUAUGAAUACAGACCGUGAAAGCAGGGACUCACAAUCCUUCUGGCC